GGAAUAUGAAGGGAGAAUGAAACAAAACUGCUCCGCUCAGGGAACUUAGAAAUUGAAAAGUUGACAUGCAGGCUGGACAUACAGUGGGUCUCGAUUGCUUGGAAGCCAAACUGAACUCACCAAGAAAAUAAGACAGGAGAAACUUCUCAAGAAGAAUAUCUCCAAAUUGCAGGAUCGAAUACCAUAAGAGGAAUUCUGGACUGAAGAAUUAUGAAGUCAUUUCAGACACUUCCAUAUAAUUUGUGUUAAUUAAAUUCUCACCGGUUGAGUUCCAUUCUACACUGGAAGAGCAUUUUUCCUGGAAAGGCUCCUCAAAAUGUACCUUUGGCAAACACAGAGAGGUAUGCUCAUAGAAGAGGUGAGUUUGGAACUGCAAAUCCUCCAGCCUCAGGACCUCUCUUUUGGUUGCCUGCUCUGCUACAAAGCUGGAGGUCUAAAGUGGAGGCAUGCAGAAGACACCGUCUGGCUGGACACCAUCAAGAGUCACCUCCUCAGUGAAGCCUUCCAUGGUUUCAUACCACCCAUCCCUAUCUGAAUGAAUGUAUCUUUGCUCUCCGUUAUCCCAGUAUUUUGCCUGGGCUUCUGUCACACUACUUUCAAUGUCUAUACCUCAGUUAUCGAAUCGAAAAACAAGAGUCAUCAGUCUCUAAGGUCCUUGCAAGCUUCAAAACUUUAUAUUUUUGUUAAUUACAACUGAAUAAAGCUGAAAAACUUAUUAUUUAUGGAUACUUACAAAGCACCAUAUAACUCUUUCAGAUAUUUUAAAA
rnacentral:antisense_RNA from 1 species